AAUAUUGGACAAUGGGCGGAAGUCUGAUCCAGCCAUGCCGCGUGUGUGAAGAAGGUCCUCGGAUUGUUAAGCACUUUAAGUAGGGAGGAAGGGCUGAAGACUAAUACUCUGCUAUUGUGACGUUACCGACAGGAUAAGCACCGGCUCACUCCGUGCCAGCAGCCGCGGUAAUACGAAGGGUGCAAGCGUUAAUCGGAAUUACUGGGCGUAACGCGCGCGUAGGUGGUUCGUUAAGUUGGAUGUGGAAGCCCCGGGCUCAACCUGGGAACUGCAGCCAAAACUGGCGAGCUAGAGUACGGUAGAGGGUGGUGGAAUUUCCUGUGUAGCGGUGAAAUGCGUAGAUAUAGGAAGGAGCACCAGUGGCGAAGGCGACAACCUGGACUGAUACUGACACUGAGGUGCGAAAGCGUGGGGAGCAAACAGG
rnacentral:rRNA from 1 species